rnacentral:rRNA from 1 species
UACGUAGGGCGCAAGCGUUGUCCGGAAUUAUUGGGCGUAAAGAGCUCGUAGGCGGUUUGUCGCGUCUGCCGUGAAAGUCCGGGCUCAACUCCGGAUCUGCGGUGGGUACGGGCAGACUAGAGUGAUGUAGGGGAGACUGGAAUUCCUGGUGUAGCGGUGAAAUGCGCAGAUAUCAGGAGGAACACCGAUUGCGAAGGCAGCUCGCUGGGACGUAACUGACGCUGAGACGCGAAAGCGUGGGGAGCAAACAGG